UCGACUUUCCAAUAGACCAUAAUCCUUUGCGGCAUGGUGACUUCCGGUUUAUUUCCGGGUUAUGACGAAGUACAAUAACAGCGAUAAAUACGGACAAAUUAUCAUUCCAGAUAUGAUUCAAAUAUGCUGAUGUUACCUUCUGAGAUCAUUACUUUCAAUGAAGAACAUCACUACAAUUGGUUGGGCUGCUAGAUUGGUAGCAACGUGAUGGACAGCUAGUACCUGACAUGCUAUUGUUGGUUUGGCAUCUAUUGCUUACUGGGCCGCUAUAUUGGAUGGACCAUACGUGUUGGUUGAACAAUUAUAAAUGGUUGGACUGGAAGUGUUGGUUGGACCACGAGUGUUGUUUGGACUGCUUGUUGGACAGAAUGUGUGAUAGACAACUAGUGUUAUUUGAAUCACUGUUGGCCUUUGAAGUUGGGUCAUAUUGGUUUGAUUCCCAUUGCUAGUACUUGUUGGAUCUCUUUUGUUGGUUGAACUGUUAUUUUUUGACUGUUAUUAUUGAUAUUCAUACAUGUAUAAUAUGUUAAGUGCUUAGUAUUCAACACUUAUUAUUAUUAUUGUUAUCAUAAGAAAUAUUAUUAUUCAAAAAUCAUAUAAAUAUAUAAAAUUAAAUAUUUUUUUAUGUCCUUG